UAGCAUGGAUCAAACACUGAGCCACGCGCCAUCAUUUCCUUACACUGAACAGCAACGCUUAGAAACUUCACGGCUCCUUUCCAAACGCAUUUACACAUUAAUUGCCAUAUUUUUUUAAAUUAUUAUUAUUAUAACUGAAACAAAACUUCUGCUAUGUCGCAUUAACGGAUUCCUACAUGAAUGCGUAAUGACGUCUGAGCAGAAACAGGAUGCAGGACGUCGUCUGCCGCAGCGCACACUGAAGCGAACAGCUAACUGCUUCGCCGACAUGAAAAUGAAACGUCCGGGUUCCGGUUAUCCGGCUCUGAACCUAGAGGUCCUAAAGGUGUGCGUCCAGCCGGCUGGUGGAGCUCAGAAAGGUGCAACGGCUCAAGAUCCGAGCUGGUCUUUUCAUGUUUUCAUGGAGGAUAGAAAUCGGUUGUUUGGCUUUCCCCCCCUCCCUCUUCUCUGCGGAUUGGGGAAAAACUAGAAACCAGCUCUCAUACUGGGAGACACGCGAGGAGCUCCGAUGAGAGUGGCCGGAUUUUCUUCCAACGGACGUCCAGGCUGUUCUGUCCCUCGUCGUGUCCCCGCUAAUUUCAUCCCCCUUCUCUCGCGCGCGGUCGGCAGAGUGUGCGUGGGCGUACGGCCGGACAGAUGUGCGGGGUCGGGCCUGCUGGAGAGAGAAGGGACUGGGAUCCGGGCGAACCGAGGGAGGAGUGAGAGAGGGGGAUAACGGGGAGGGAGGGAGGGACGCAGAUGACGUCCGAGCACGAGGGAACACUUGGCUGACAUGUCCGCGUUUUGUUGCCACACCGAGGAAAGUUUUACCUCACCUCUCCGUACCAGUUACUCACUGGUUCCAUUUGACCACUUCUGGGUUUUUAAUCUCUACUUUAUGAAUAAUGUCCUAAUUAACAAUUUGCUAUUGUCCACUGUUAUAACUUUCAUAAAUAAACUGACGAUAUAUUUUUUCUUUCAUAACUUGUUUCCAGGGAUUUUUGAAUAAGAUUCAUUCUUGAGUCAACUUUUAAAUGAGCUUUUAUUAGUAUGAGUUAAAUAUAGAUUUUUUUACGCGUCUUUUGUCUGAGAUUUCUCUGUGUAUUUAUUAAACCGUUUACCUUUUUUA